rnacentral:rRNA from 1 species
UACGUAGGGUGCGAGCGUUAAUCGGAAUUACUGGGCGUAAAGUGUGCGCAGGUGGCCGCGCAAGUCGAGUGUGAAAUCCCCGAGCUUAACUUGGGAAUUGCGCUCGAAACUACGUGGCUCGAGUGUGGCAGAGGAAGGUGGAAUUCCACGUGUAGCGGUGAAAUGCGUAGAUAUCGGGAGGAACACCAGUGGCGAAGGCGAUCUUCUGGACGGAUACUGACGUUGAGGCGCGAAAGCUAGGGGAGCAAACGGG